AUCCUUUUUUAGUUCAUAAGCAUGAUGACUGGGUUUUCAGGUGCUUGCGUGAAAUGUGCCUUCCACAGAUCUUGUUACAAUGUUGGCACAUUACCUGUCUGUCA